rnacentral:rRNA from 1 species
CCGUUGUACACACCGCCCGUCACACCACGAAAGUUGGUAACACCCGAAGCCAGUGGCCUAACCGCAAGGAGGGAGCUGUCGAAGGUGGGAUCAGCGAUUGGGGUG